rnacentral:lncRNA from 1 species
AAGACAUUCACUACACCAGAGGAGACAAAGGAAGCACGUUGCUGUUAUUGCUGUUCAUGGCCUUCUUCCAACAGUAAGGGAAGCUAGUUUGAAGAUAAACUGUACAAAGGAAAGUAAAACAAGAGAAGUGCAGCGAAAUGGUGCCGGAGCCGUGAUGCAGCUACAACCUAGAGUUCUCACAAUCUCUUAAUUUCCUGCUGUCGGCGAUAAAUGUGAUCAUUUUGGCCGAUUUGGUUCAGUUUUUCUGUUCCGUGAAGCUGAAAGCAUCCUGACACAGGGCACACAAUGCUGUUGAAGCCAUCAGAGUACCAGGAUGCUGAUCUCCACGGCAAGUGCCUGAGCAGAGGGAGCUCAGUGAAGAGGAACUGCUCCAGCACUACACAGGCAUUCUUGGUAGCUGGACAGUACUGGACCCAUCACAAUUUCAAUACUGGGAAGAGAAAAGCCAGUCCUCUGGGGAAAGAUGAAGCACUGGACCUACAAACUAACUACUUUCAACCCCUGGAUGAAUCUAGGAGCAGAUUAGUCCCGAUAUCAAGGCAAUGUCAAGAGUGAAGGGGAGGAUCAAGAUUUUUUUUGAGUGAUUGUUUCCUGGAAGGUACCUACUUUCCCAGACUCCUUGCAGUUGGAAUUUGCCAUGUGACCCACUUUUGGCAAUAGAGAGGAGAAAAAAAAAUAACAAGAAAAUGACCAUGGAAAGUAACAACAACUGAAAACGGAUAAAAUGAAGAUGUGUGAAAGAGCACAAGAGUGCAAAACCAAAAGUAUACAAGGAGUGUUUAUGCAGUAACCACUUUAGAAUGCCUUUCCUCAUGUUUGAAGACUUCUAAACUAGGGCAAGGACAGAUCCCAGCAACUACUGGAAGCAUAAUAAAGGAGAAGAAUGAGGCAUUUUCUUCUCUCAUAUACAGAUUAUAUGUAAUUAGGAUGCUAAGGAUAAUUUUGUAACAUAAAAACGGAGAUGCUAAGGAGAAUGGUUUCACCCUAGUUUAUAGAAGGAGGGUAUACUAUGGUCUAUCAAAGACUGAAAAUUGUCCUCUGCUAAUAAAGUCUCAAAUCAGGGCAAUUGGAUUUCUUUCUUUUUUUUUUUUUAUUAUACUUUAAGUUUUAGGGUACAUGUGCACAAUGUGAAGGUUUGUUACAUAUGUAUACAUGUUCCAUGUUGGUGUGCUGCACCCAUUAACUCAUCAUUUACAUUAGGUAUAUCUCCUAAUGCUAUCCCUCCCCACUCUCCCAGCCCCACAACAGGUCCUGGUGUGUGAUGUUCUCCUUCCUGUGUCCAUGUGUUCAAUUCCCACCUAUGAGUUGAGUUAGAGUUACUAGUCUCAAAUAAAUGCUUGGUAAUGCCAUACAAUCUAAACAUGUUGUCACUGUCAACUCACUAUCUCAUAUUCUGCAAUGAUACCCUUCUAUAUUCUGAAAUUCCUUCCCCAUUCUCAGCAGAUAGCCUCAGAUCAUAUAUCAUACACACAAUUGAACAUAUCACAUAGAAAUUUCAUCAGCUCACUGCCUCCAAUCCAAUGAACCUAACAUCUACUAACAUCAACACCAUCCAGGAAACCAUGACCUCACCAGAUGAACUAAAUAAGGCACCAGGGAAAAAUACCAGUGAAACAGAGACAUGUGACCUUUCAGACAGAUAAUUCAAAAUAGCUGUGUUGAGGAAACUCAAAUUCAAGAUGAUACAGAGAAGGAAUUCAGAAUUAGAUAAAUUUAACAAAGAGAUUGAAAUAAUUAAGAAUCAAGCAGAAAUUCUGGAGCUGAAAAACGCAACUGGCGUAUUGAGAAAUGCACCAGAGUCUCUUAAUAGCAGAACUGAUCAAGCAGAAGAAUGAAUUAGUGAUGUUGAAGACAGACUAUUGGAAAUGCACAGUCAGAAGAGAAAAAAGAAAAAACAAUGAAGCACGCCUACAGGAUCUAAAAAAUAGCCCCCAAAGGGCAAAUCUAAGAGUUACUGGCCUUAAAGAGGGGGGGCUCAACACCCAAGUACAAAAAGGUUAGAGAACACCAAGUAGAUUUAAUCUAAAGAAGACUACCUUGAAUCGUUUAACAAUUAAACUCCCAAAGGUCAAGGAUAAAGAAAGGAUACUAAAAGAACCAAGAGAAAAGAAACAAGUAACAUACACUAGAGCUCCAGUACACCUGGUAGCAGACUUUUCAGUGGAAACCUUACACACCAGGAGAGUGACAUGGCAUAUUUAAAGUGCUAAAGGGUGGAAAAAAAGCCUUUUACCCUGGA